GGGGAUGUCUUUGGUUUCGACGGGGGUGUGGAAACCGGAGAAGCGAGCCGCAGUUUGUCCGGUCUGCGUUAAAAAGGACACGUUAAAUAUAAACGCUAAAAAGAAUAACAAUUUUGCACCGAUGGCUAUGGCUGCGUAAGGCGGUCAUAAGCUGUGCAUGUCGGCUCCGGCUCACCUGUAGGCCGGAUGUCCGGCAACGACUAUACAGGAAAACUCUAUGUGAAUUCCUGGUAGCAUAGGGGAAUAACAGGAUAGCCGACGAAAAAGCCUGCUUUUGGGCGUUUUCAGAAGCGAAACUCUAAAACAAAAGCUGCGCUCGGAGAAACUCUUGUGGAAAUGCUUUCGGACGCGAGUUCGAUUCUCGCCAUCUCCACCA
rnacentral:tmRNA from 1 species